CUACGGGACGCACCAGUGAGGAAUAUUGCACAAUGGGGGGAACCCUGAUGCAGCAACGCCGCGUGGAGGAUGACGCAUUUCGGUGUGUAAACUCCUUUUAUAUGUCAAGAAAAUGACGGUAGCAUAUGAAUAAGCACCGGCUAACUCCGUGCCAGCAGCCGCGGUAAUACGGAGGGUGCAAGCGUUACUCGGAAUCACUGGGCGUAAAGGACGCGUAGGCGGGUUGGAAAGUCAGGUGUGAAAUCCUACAGCUUAACUGUAGAACUGCACUUGAAACUUCUAAUCUAGAGUAUGGGAGGGGGAGAUGGAAUUAGUGGUGUAGGGGUAAAAUCCGUAGAUAUCACUAGGAAUACCUAAAGCGAAGGCGAUCUCCUGGAACAUUACUGACGCUAAGGCAUGAAAGCGUGGGGAGCAAACAGGAUUAGAUACCCGUGUAGUC
rnacentral:rRNA from 1 species